GUUGAUUUAAAGAUUACACUCUUACCGGACCUUAGAAUGGCCGGACUCGCCGUAGAGCAGAGAAAGACAGUCAGGAACGAGCCGAGGUCAAGGGUACAAAGAGACAGCGAAAACAAGAACUAGCCAAGGUCUGGUACACAGUAAUCAGUAAGCCGGCAAACAAGACAAAACAGGGAUAAAGAGAAAAACUGAGUCAGAUACAAAGCCAAGGUCAAGUACGAAAAAUCACAACUGAACAAAACAAGCGCUAAAGGGAACUGAAACAGAAACCACAAUAGGGCAGGGAGUUAAGGGAGAAGUAAGUAUAAAUACCCUAGCAUUUAAUUUGAUUGGCCCCUGUCAUAUCCACGCCCCCAAAAUGUGAGUGUAUGGGGAAUGUGGGAUGACAGGGGCCAAUGGGAGACCGUUUUAUAUUUCGGCUCCCAUGGUCCCUUUAAGAGCGUGCCCGAGACGCACGGCGCGUUCUUAGAGCUAGGCGGGACACGUGACCGCAUCUGAGCUCUGAGCGAGCCGCGAAGCAGGAAUAGAGGACCUCGGCCGGCCCCCGGAUAAGGUAAGUACCGCUACAUUGUGAUCGUGGUUCAUUA